rnacentral:sRNA from 1 species
GACAGGCCUCGUCCUACCUGUCUUCACCUGUAUAAUGACAUCAUCCUAUAGCUGAUCAAUUAAACAUUACAGGUAGUGAGUGAUUUCUCAGGAAGAGUGGGAAAUACUCGGGGGCAGAAUUGAGCCUGCGGUAUCAGUGUGAAGAAGGUAGAAGGCUCUCACAGUUUUCUAGUCAAACUCGUCAGCUUUGUUAUACCGAGUGAGCACACACCACGAAAGUGCAAAUAAUAUGCAUUUCCCAUCUCUGUCCACCAAGACGCCCCUGAAACAUCCCAGUAACAUCCCUGUCCGGAUGCCAAUUUCUAAAUAUUAUCCUCCCGUAAAGAGAACUCAUUAGAAUUUAUAUAUGGCUGCCUCCCCCAGUUGGGAGGCAGAGGCAGGUGGAUCUCUGUGAGUUUGAGGGCAGCCUGGUGGUCUACAGAGUUCCAGGACAGCCAGGGAUACCCAGAGAAACCCUGUCUGGAAAAACAAAACAAAGCAAAAAACUGGAUUCCUGGAUUGGGCAGAGAAAUUUUCAAAAUACACUGGAAUAUCUUACUCCUUUUUUUGCACAGAGGAGUGGGUAUAUUUGUAUUUCCUUGAGUCCCACUGGUUCCUAGAGAUCAGGUGCUCCAGCUGUGUAGGGCUCCACCGUGAGGAAUCUGAUGUGAAGGACAAAUUAGGAAGUGUUUGAGGGAUGAUGGGAGGAGGAGGGGCAUGCCCAAGGACGGAGGAGUGAUCUCUGCUUCUUCUGGCCAACAUGGGCAAGUUAAGAAACUAAUGCUGGGAAUGGAUUGUAAACUCUGGAAAGGAAAAGCUAUGAACUUAUAAUAAUGCAAACAAAUGAAUUAGUAAAUAGGCAGAGAGAAGCGACUCCUGCCUGUACCCUCACACCGUUCCAGGGAUUGACCUAUCCGCACAGUGAGUAAAUGAGAAAUAGGAAGUUAUGGACACUCAAAAGCUGGGAUCCGGUACACUGGGCUCCCCCAUAGGGAAGCCACAGUACCCCAGAAGGACAGCGUGUUUGUUUUCAAUUAAACAUGGAAGUGGGGUUAUUAAAUGCAACAUGCGCAUGCAAACACACACAGAGAGAGAGAGAGAGAGAGAGAGAGAGAGAGAGAGAGAGAGAGAGAGAGAGAGAGAGAGAGAGGUUUAGCUAAUCUCAGUAGGCACAGUAUACAGGGGAGUCUUCAGGCAAUAAAUAAUCAGGAUGAGAAAGCUACGGUGAACAUUUUCUGCACAUGUUAUCAACAUCCACACUUGGAUCAUUUGCCCUCUGGGCUGAGGCGUGGGAUUCCUUAACACAGUCAUGCCAUGACAACAACAUAGAUCCAUUCAAGACAUCAUUCAUUCAGGGCUCCCCACUCCCCACUCUGUGCAGUAGAACUGCAGUGUAAACGAAAACAGGCCAAUACAAAAGGAAGUACUUGUUCCUGUAGAGGGAGGUGGUGUCGAUUCCCUAAUUGGUUCUCGAUUGUGUCAAUAAAGGAGGCAGAAGCCAAUUGCUGGGCGAAGGGGGAAGGGUGGGACUUCAGGAUGGAAGGGAAGGGACACAGGGAAAGAGGAUUUCGGACCAGGCUUUGGAUCCCGGAGGAAGCUGCAGUCAUGUAGGUCAUAGGGCCCCUAGAGUUUGUAGCCUCCUUGUUGAGCAGGGGCCGAGGAGGACGGAGGGAGGCAUCUAGUUGAUAAGAUUAGGGCGGGAAAUUCUUCGCCCAGCCAUUGAGCUAUCUGGCUAGUUUUAAAAUAAUAAAAGUAGUCUCCCAUCCGUGGGACUGAGGUGGGCAGGAGGAGAAAGAGUGUUGGCAGCUUGGCGAAGCUAUCUCUGAGGGGUUGCAGGGAGUAGUUGCAAUUCCAGGGAGGAAAAAUGGCCUCUGGCUGUUGGCGGAGCUGAGUGAAAAUCUCUGAGCCUAUCCUGGAGCGCAGGCAGAGCUCCCAAGAAGGGGGAAGUGUGGGGGAAGUGUGCGAGUGUGUGUGUGUGUGUGUGUGUGUGUGUGUGUGUGUGUGUGUGUGUGUGUGUGUGUGUUUAAAUUACAUGCAACAAAUUCAAGUAUUGUACAAUCAAAGUACUUCCCUAGUGGAGUUUAUGAACUUUAAAUUGUUAGCAUGAUUCUGUUCUAAGAGUGUAAUGAGUUUUCCCAUCUUUUUUGUUAAAAUCCAGUAUUGUCGUUUUCUAUUGCUGUUCUUAUAAAUCACCAGAAGUGGGACUUAAUACCUACAAAUGUAUCAUUACACAGGACUACAGAUUCCAACUGUCAUUAAACUAAAACCAAGGUGUUUGUGUUUCUUUCUGAGGUUCUCGGGACUGGUUUAUUUUCCUGCCUUUCUGUAUUAAAGGCAGCUUGCAUCUCUUGGUUUGUAUACUCUCCUCCAUGUUCAAACACUGAUGGACAGUUAAAUUAUUCUCAUACCACAUUUCUCUAAUACUGUUUCUUCUUUCUCGCUUUCACUCCUGAGGACCCUCAUCGAUUCAGACAGCCACCUUACAGCCCUCCUGAGAGAACCCUGCUGCAGAGAACCCUGGAGCACAGUGACGGACCAGAAAGCCAGCCGUGCAACGUGCGCUGCCUUCUCGCAGAUGGAUGCAAACUGAGGGCUGUCCCGGCAUGAGGGAAAUGUGUAACGACAGAAGACUGUGGCCUUGUAUCCCAGGACCAACCAAUGCAGGAGGAUUGGUCAGGUAGAAUCCAUUUUGGAGCUUAACAGCAAAAAGCAUUAUGCUAUGUAAUAUCCCUUUGCCCCAGCUUCCCUCUCCCUGGCUUGCAUCUGCCCUCCUAUCUCUUGUCUCUUCACAGCAUCUUCACCUUACAUGUAUUUCUACAUCCAGUUUUCCCGCUCUUCCUGGUACCAAUCACAGUGGCUUAGGGACAACCAUCUUAAUGACAACCUUUUCAUUUAAUUGCCAUCGAAGUCCUGCCUCCAGGCCCAGUCACCCUCAGGAACCAAUGGACUGCUUAACAAACCAUGAAACAACUAACCAACGACCUAGCCCACCUCGUGGGCUCUAGCAUUUACGUACCCUCUGAGAAGUCCUCGGAAUUCCAAAUGUCACACAUUUGCAGAAACGAUCUGCAGCCAGAGAAAUCACCAUGCCCGAGGAACCAAAAUUCCAAAAUUGUCAUUACACUGUACCAGAAGAACUUGAGGCAAUUUAGACUUUACCAAAAAAACCUAGCAUCCCAUGACUCAGAAAACAAUUUAGUGUGUGGCUGGACAGUGAAUGCUCCUGACAUCUUAGCAAUUGGUCCCAAGACCCCAAGGGUGCCAAAAUAGUCUGAUGAUGCUCCAACUCCCCAAGAAAACUGGUACAACACUUGCUCACAGCCUCACUCAGCACCCGUGCACAGUAGGUCAUCUCUAAGGGACCCAUAACUCUAGACACAAUGCCAAUGCUUUGUAAGUAGUUGUGCUGGACUGUUUAGGGAUGAGGAGAAGAGAAUAUCUACAUAUGCUCAGUAUAGAUGCACAUUUUAAAAAUACUUUGAUCUACAGUUCUUUGACUAAGGAUGAAGAACUCAAAGAGAAGAGGUCACGCUCUCUUUCUUGGUUCUUACUAACAUUCUGCACACAUACAUUUAUCAAAAUGGCUUUGAGGCUGAAUGCCUCCACUUUUGCAUACCUCUUGCAUUGUAGACCUUCCGUUGUUACGGUGAUGGCUAAUCUUGGUUAUCAACUUGACUACAUCUAGAAUCAACUAAAACCCAAGCAACUCCACACACCUGUGAGGGAUUUUUUUUUUUUUCAAUUGGAUCAUUUGAGGUGGAAAAUCUGGUUCAAAUCUGGUAGCAGCCCACAAAAAAGGACAUGGAAGGAGGAAACUUUUGAUUUUUGCCUGCUUGCCUUCACUCUUACUAGCAAGUACAUCUGCCUUGUUGCUUCUUCGGGAUUCCAAUACAGACUGAAGACUAGCAGCUCUCUAGGACUCCAGCACCAAAGUGGGACUUUGGAGACAUCCAAUCUCUUGGACUUUCUGUUUAGAAGUGCCCACCAUCAGACCCCAACCUGUAACCACUCUAAUAAAUUUGAUAAAUUUUGUCCCCCAAGA